GCGGGUAUAGUUUAGUGGUAGAAUGCGUCCUUGCCAAGGACGAGAUGGGAGUUCGAUUCUCCCUACCCGCACCA
rnacentral:tRNA from 6 species